rnacentral:rRNA from 1 species
GACGAACGCUGGCGGCGUGCUUAACACAUGCAAGUCGAACGGUGAAGCGCCUUCCUUUUUGGUGGGUGUGGAUGAGUGGCGAACGGGUGAGUAACACGUGAGUAACCUGCCCCCUUCUUCUGGAUAACCGCAUGAAAGUGUGGCUAAUACGGGAUAUUCUGGGUCUGUCGCAUGAUGGGUCUGGGAAAGAUAUUGUUUCGGUGGGGGAUGGGCUCGCGGCCUAUCAGCUUGUUGGUGGGGUGAUGGCCUACCAAGGCGGUGACGGGUAGCCGGCCUGAGAGGGUGGACGGUCACACUGGGGCUGAGACACGGCCCAGACUCCUACGGGAGGCAGCAGUGGGGAAUAUUGCACAAUGGGCGCAAGCCUGAUGCAGCGACGCCGCGUGAGGGAUGGAGGCCUUCGGGUUGUGAACCUCUUUCGCCAGUGAAGCAGGCCUGCCUCGUUUGUGGGUGGGUUGACGGUAGCUGGAUAAGAAGCGCCGGCUAACUACGUG